rnacentral:lncRNA from 1 species
CCUGGAGUCACUGGGCACCCCAGUCCAGCGACGGCUGCCUGACAGUCACUUGGCUGGAGAGCGUCAGCAGCGAUCAUGCUGUGCUGCUUUCCCAGGCCUCGAGGCCGCAGCACCAGGAGCCCGUGCAGGGAAAGCACUUGGGCGCGAGUGAGAGGUUGGAUGGCUAAGUCCCCGUGCUUCAGGCCACUCACCAGGAACUACCUGGCCUUCAGGGGCAGCACAGGGCGGGUCUCCCCAGACCCAGAGACCUGGGAAUCUGAGACGAGCGGGAGCCCAGGGCAGAUCUCCCUGGACCUGGACACCAGACUCUCGGGGCCACCGAGUCCAGGACAGGUCCAGUCAGGCCCGGCCACCACUGGAGCCCCUGGAACAGGACUUCCUGGACAGCUGCCCCAUCCAGGCAGACUUCCUCCUGGACCCCUCUGGGGCCUGCAUUCCCGCCCUGCAGGAAGGGAUGGUGCUAAGGACCAGCUCCAGCCCCAGCUGAAGUCCCAUGUGUGGAGCCCGAGCCAGCUCCACCUGCAGCUUCCUGCCCAGCGGUGGGACCACAGCCAGAGUCCGUGGCAGCCCCUUCACCUGCUGCAGUGCUGGGGCACCUGGUGGUUGCACGGUGGUCGGUGUCACCUCCUGAGCUCCUCCUGGGGCCAGCUCCCGGGCCCCUCCCACUGUUCCCCUCACUUACGCUGGC